rnacentral:rRNA from 1 species
UACGAAGGGGGCUAGCGUUGCUCGGAAUCACUGGGCGUAAAGCGCACGUAGGCGGAUUGCUAAGUCAGGGGUGAAAUCCUGGAGCUCAACUCCAGAACUGCCCUUGAUACUGGCGGUCUCGAGUCCGGGAGAGGUGAGGGGAACUGCGAGUGUAGAGGUGAAAUUCGUAGAUAUUCGCAAGAACACCAGUGGCGAAGGCGGCUCACUGGCCCGGUACUGACGCUGAGGUGCGAAAGCGUGGGGAGCAAACAGG